rnacentral:lncRNA from 1 species
CCUCCCCGUGGCCUGAAGACACAGUUUUCCUAAUAGAGCGUUUCAUAGCAGCAAAGCGGUUGUCGAUAAACCCUUCAGGUCGAGCAGAGCCCGUGAGUCAAAGGAAAUCCGUGCUAGUCAUUGAGCACUGAAUGACUUGUUUCAAACUCAAGUACAAGCCUGGCUGGGAGAGAAGAUUAUUAUUACUGUUAUUAAGUCUUCCUGUACCUCCUAUUGAACAUCUUAUUAGCAAUGUGUGUAAGCAUCUGCUCCUGGACCCAACUUCGAUACUACACUGUUGACUCCAAUUUUAUAAAUGUGUAAGAGGAUCCAAAAAGGACCUGGCCAGCAUUUUUCAGCAGAAGGUGAAUGACAAUGGGAUUGACAAAAGAGAUGAAGAAGUCAGGGAGCAUUGAAGAUUGGAAGGGGACAAAGUGCUGGAGUCACAGGGCAGAGCCCAGUGAAAAGACAAAUAAAAUGGGGGACCUUAAAAAGAUUUUGAUUGAAUUUGAGAAAUCAGGCCAAGUGGGAGAAGAGACUCAACCACAUUAUGUUCAAGGGAAGGAGGAAAAAGAAUGAAGAGAAUUUGUCACUUCCAAAGAUGGCAGUGACAUUGGGAAGGAGAUUAAACGGUGUGA